rnacentral:rRNA from 1 species
GAGUUUGAUCAUGGCUCAGGAUGAACGCUGGCUACAGGCUUAACACAUGCAAGUCGAGGGGAAACGACGGGGAAGCUUGCUUCCCCGGGCGUCGACCGGCGCACGGGUGAGUAACGCGUAUCCAACCUGCCUCUGACUGAGGGAUAACCCGUCGAAAGUCGGCCUAAUACCUCAUGGCAUCGUCUGCGGGCAUCCAACGACGAUUAAAGAUUUCAUCGGUCAGGGAUGGGGAUGCGUCUGAUUAGCUUGUUGGCGGGGUAACGGCCCACCAAGGCGACGAUCAGUAGGGGUUCUGAGAGGAAGGUCCCCCACAUUGGAACUGAGACACGGUCCAAACUCCUACGGGAGGCAGCAGUGAGGAAUAUUGGUCAAUGGGCGAGAGCCUGAACCAGCCAAGUAGCGUGCAGGAAGACGGCCCUAUGGGUUGCAAACUGCUUUUAUGCGGGGAUAAAGUGAGGGACGUGUCCUUCAUUGCAGGUACCGCAUGAAUAAGGACCGGCUAAUUCCGUGCCAGCAGCCGCGGUAAUACGGAAGGUCCGGGCGUUAUCCGGAUUUAUUGGGUUUAAAGGGAGCGUAGGCCGUGGAUUAAGCGUGUUGUGAAAUGCAGGUGCUCAACGUCUGCACUGCAGCGCGAACUGGUCCACUAGAGUGUGCGCAACGCAGGCGGAAUUCGUCGUGUAGCGGUGAAAUGCUUAGAUUAUGACGAAGAACUCCGAUUGCGAAGGCAGCUUGCGGGAGCACAACUGACGCUGAAGCUCGAAAGUGCGGGUAUCGAACAGGAUUAGAUACCCUGGUAGUCCGCACGGUAAACGAUGGGAUGCCCGUUGUCAGGCUGUUUCAGUCUGGUGACCAAGCGAAAGCAUUAAGCAUCCCACCUGGGGAGUACGCCGGCAACGGUGAAACUCAAAGGAAUUGACGGGGGCCCGCACAAGCGGAGGAACAUGUGGUUUAAUUCGAUGAUACGCGAGGAACCUUACCCGGGCUUGAAUUGCAGACGAAGGCUUCAGAGAUGAAGCUGCCUUUCGGGGCGUCUGUGAAGGUGCUGCAUGGUUGUCGUCAGCUCGUGCCGUGAGGUGUCGGCUUAAGUGCCAUAACGAGCGCAACCCCUUUCUUCAGUUGCCAUCAGGUGAUGCUGGGCACUCUGUAGAUACUGCCACCGCAAGGUGUGAGGAAGGUGGGGAUGACGUCAAAUCAGCACGGCCCUUACGUCCGGGGCUACACACGUGUUACAAUGGCUGGUACAGAGAGUUGAUUUUGUGCAAACACGAUCUAAUCCUUAAAUCCGGUCCCAGUUCGGACUGGGGUCUGCAACCCGACCCCACGAAGCUGGAUUCGCUAGUAAUCGCGCAUCAGCCAUGGCGCGGUGAAUACGUUCCCGGGCCUUGUACACACCGCCCGUC